CCAAAAAUUGCACCAAUGUCACUCAGCCACCAACAUGAAAAACGAAGUAGAAAUCCCAGCAAUGAUUUCUCCUUCUCCAACUAUUAAAUUUGUUUCAAAAUUGGUUUUUAGCUUGAUAUUUAAUUCUUCCAACACCAUGCCAAUUUUCACCUUAAUCCGACCAAUAGAUCUUCAAAUAUCAUAGAAACUCUACCCAACCUCAAACUGCCACCUUCCAAAACCCUCUUGUACUAAAAACUAGAUAUCUCUAAACCACGCCGUUAGAUUAUUACAAAAUUUUGUAUACACUUAGCAGACCCAAUAAUCCAAAAAAUUUCAAAUUUUCAACCGUAGAUGUCAUGCCAAUUGUACGAACUAGCCAAAAUUUCUAGCCCUAAUUAUAUUAUAUAAAACCCAAAUCACUGAUACAAAUCCUGACUUUGAACAACAAUUGUUAAAAACUCCAAAAUCCUCUCAAAACAAUCCUUAUGUCUUUAGAAUGAACUUCAAGCUAGCUCUCAAAUCCUACUCUUUGAACUUCGAAUGAAAUCCUAUAUUGCCCUAGGUCAUCAUUUUAGUGGCCAAAGGUCUGAUUUCGACCCUAUCUCACAAACGGUCAAUCCUUGAGUAUCAAUCUAUCCUAUCUUAAGGAGUUUUUAGCCCAAUCCUACUC
rnacentral:lncRNA from 1 species